rnacentral:rRNA from 1 species
GUAUUAAAGGCAACGCUGCCCAGUGAAAAUUAAACGGCCGCGGUAUCCUAACCGUGCAAAGGUAGCAUAAUCAUUUGUCUAUUAAUUGUAGACCUGUAUGAAAGGCAAAAUGAGAGCCCAACUGUCUCUUAUAACAAAUCAAUUAAACUGAUCUCCUAGUACAAAAGCUAGAAUACUAACAUAAGACCAGAAGACCCUGUGAAGCUUUAACUAACUUAUUAAACCUAAUAAUAACUACUUUCGGUUGGGGCGACCUUGGAAUAAAAAAGAACUUCCAAUCUAUGAACUCCUCAUAAAACAAGGCAAACAAGCCAACAAUAGACCCAGUAUGACUGACAAUUGAAACAAGUUACUCCAGGGAUAACAGCGCUAUCUUCUUUAAGAGCCCAUAUCAAAAAGAAGGUUUACGACCUCGAUGUUGGAUCAGGACAUCCCAGUGAUGCAACCGUUACUAAAGGUUCGUUUGUUCAACGAUUAAUAGUCCUACGUUAUCUGAG